rnacentral:rRNA from 1 species
AUUGAACGCUGGCGGAAUGCUUUACACAUGCAAGUCGAACGGUAGAGGGGGCAACCCCUCGAGAGUGGCGAACGGGUGAGUAAUAUAUCGGAACGUGCCCAGUCGUGGGGGAUAACGUAGCGAAAGUUACGCUAAUACCGCAUACGAUCUACGGAUGAAAGCAGGGGACCGCAAGGCCUUGCGCUCAUGGAGCGGCCGAUGGCAGAUUAGGUAGUUGGUGGGAUAAAAGCUUACCAAGCCGACGAUCUGUAGCUGGUCUGAGAGGACGACCAGCCACACUGGGACUGAGACACGGCCCAGACUCCUACGGGAGGCAGCAGUGGGGAAUUUUGGACAAUGGGGGAAACCCUGAUCCAGCCAUGCCGCGUGCAGGAUGAAGGCCUUC